rnacentral:tRNA from 1 species
GAAAUAAUUAAAAUUUUAGAACUUCUAAUUCAAUAAAUAAAUGAUUUCAUUUUUAUUUCU